ACAACAGAAUACAGAAACAUAAAGACAAAGGAUCUCAGAAUGGAGAAGGAUAAUUUCAGUGGCAAGAAUAAUGUCUUCAGUAAGAAUGAAACUAGCUUCAGCUUGGAGGAAACUGAGUUGAGAUUUGAGAAGAAUGAAUCAGGUGUUGGAAGGAAUGAGGUAAGAAAAUAAGAGUCUGACUUCAGCCUGGAGAAGAAUAACUCGAGUGCCGGAAAGAAUGACUCAAUUGCUGGUAAGAAUGACUUCAGCCAGGAAUAAUGACUCAAGUUAAGGGAAAAAUUACUGAAGUGACGGGAAGAAAGACUCAAUAGCUAGUAAGAAUGAGACUGACUUCAGCCUGGAGAAGAAUGCCUCAAGUGCUGGUAUGAAUGGGUUAAGCCGAGAAGAGACUGACUUCAGCCGGGAAGAAAAUGAGUUUAGAAAAGAGGAGACUGGUUACAGCAGAGAGCAGAAUGACUUGAUUGGCUUCAGCAGGAAGGAGAGUAAUUUCAAUAUUGAAGGGAAAGAGGGAAAUGCUUUGAAAUCAAAAACAAAGGAAAUCAACCUUGCUCACAGAAAUUCUGAACUUGGUAAACAUCUGAAGGAAGAGAAAUCAACGAAGGAGAAAUCAAUAAAAGACAAAGCUGAUCUUUUGAAAAAAAUUUCUGAACUUAAUGAAAGAGAAGGCUAACAAAGAAAAUGCUGAUCUCACAAAAAGAAUUUUUAUGAAUAAAAAAUUCUGAAUUAUAUACACCCAUGUAUUUACAUUGACCAGAUUUAAUGAAGGGAAAGAGGUAGCUUAACUUUUCAUACGGCGUUCAACCACUUGUCUGCCAGUUUAAUCUGAAGAAAAGGUUGAACCCCAUCUACAUGGUUUAACCACGUCUACACGGUUCAACCAUGUCUGACUGUACAUUGAAUCGGUUCCUGGAUGUUAGAAGUAAGAAGAUGUUAAGGGAAGUGUCUUCUACACUAAAGGAAAGAGUUGAAGAAUGUGAGAAAUCAUUCAAGUUUUGGAUAUUUGAUUCAGAAUUAUCAACACCUCAACUAAAUCAGUUAGCAGAUUAAAUUAAGACCAGCAAAGGUAUACCUAUGAAAGACUGUUCUAUUAAUGGUGGAGAAUAUCUAGUAAAGAUGCAUCCUGAGCUUGAAAAGUUUGAAAUCCAUGGCUUAUAUUUUUCUGAACACGAAACUAAAUUCAGUGAUAUUGGAUUGAGGCCUGUGCUAUCUCUACCUAAUCUAACUUCUGUGAUUGUCGGACGUUGGAAAAAACAAACUAAUGCAAUUUGUAUAGGUGGAUCUGUUUCAACCAGUCAUGAUGUGCUUUUUACUCAUCUGGAAGCAAUCGAAAAUUUGAUAAAUAUUGAGUUUCCAGGUGUUUCAUGGCAAAGCACUGGCUCAUUUAAAACUUAAUUUUUACAAAAUUAUUUGUAUAUUUUAUAUUUUUUAUAUUUUAUAUUUUGAAUUUUGGUUUUUCUCCGAUUAUAUAUUCCAUAUGAAGUAUGAGACACGUAAAACCUAGGAUGAUCAUUUUAGGUACUUUUAAACUGUUUGAGAAGAAGUUUCUCUGCCUGAGUCUUUUGAUCCUAAACUUACUAGUUUCUUAAUUCAAAUUAGAGCUAGGAUGUAUAUGUAUAGUAUUCACCCGUCUACAAGCCGAUGAUGAAAAUUAUUUCUAGGGCUGACUACGAAAGUAGAUCUAAAAUCAAUUGUAAAUCAUGAUUGAGUCCUCUAUGAUUGACACAGUAAGUUUUCCUUAUAUAUGUUUUGAGAUGAGUGAUACAGAUGCAAUGAACUAUGAUGAAUAUGAAGCCAUGAAGGAAGAUCAAUUUCGAGAAUACAAUGGUUCUCAUCUUCUCCAGGUCCUACAAACCGUCGGAAAUACACUUAAAUCCUUAAGUAUUCAGGGAUCUCAAACUGGUACUGCUCUGCUUGAGUACAAUGGAAGGCUGCCUUGUCUGGAGAAUUUGAAUCUCAACAGUAAUGAUUACAAUAUUGAAGGACUUCUACUUAUAAUUCACCUUUGUGGUAAUACUCUUAAAUCCCUCUCAACCAGGUGUCAUUCUGUGUCUGGAAAAGUCUAAUGGACCUUAAUGGUCCUUUAAUUGCCUUGGAUUUACCGUUGAAUUUAUGUCCCUCUGAGUCUGACCUAACAGAUGAAGAACUGCUUCAUGUUCUCAAUCAAUGUGGACCUACUCUCAAAUACCUCUAUAUCUCUUGUACAUAUUCAAGUUGUGACAAUCUUUCAGAGUACAAGGGUUCUCUCCUUCUGCAGACUUUAAAGUUUGAAGAGUCCGAACUAUCAGACAGAGGUCUUCUUAACAUACUGAGAUUGUGCAGAAGUACACUGGAAUUCUUGGACAUCAGGAAUUCUGAAGUCAGUGGAUCAGAUCUCUGGAAGUUUUAAGGAACCCUUUCAUGUUUAAGAGAGAUAGAAUGUACUUCGCUCUGUGGGUUUGGUGAUAAAGAACUUCUCUAUAUACUUCGGAUCUGUCGACCCACUCUCAAAUCACUGAACAUUGGAGAAGCUAAUGUAACCGGAGAAACUUUGUCAGAAUACAAAGAACCCCAGCCAGCUCUUCAGCAUUUAGAUGUUUCCAAAACUGAAAACAGAAUAACUGACAAGGGACUGAUGCAGAUCUUACAAAUAUUUAGGAAAACAAUUGUAUCAUUAGAUGUCAGCAUAUCUAGAAUAACGGGAAGAAAUCUGAGGAAGUUUAAAGGUUCUUUGCAUUGUUUGGAAACCCUAGAGAGCAAUGAUACCUAUAGAGAAGAAGGUGUAUUCCGUAUACUAGAACUCCUAGAACUCUGUGGAGUUAAUCUUAAGCGCCUGGCGAUGUAUAAGACCAAGUUAAAGAGUAACACUUGGGAAAAAAUACAUGAAGACUUUCCCACUAUUCUUCUUAUGCCAACAAAUUAAGAACUGUUUGAUCAUGGAUAUUACUAGAUUCGUUAUGCAACUCAAAAACAAGCUUUAGUUGAAUGUCCGUCAUUGUCUACCCAUUUUUUUACAAACCAAAGAAAGGAGAAUCAUGCUAAAUAAUCAUUAGUGUAAAUGAUUUUUAAAUCUAGUGAAAAAGCAAUUAUAUUUCCUGCUAAGUAACUAAAUAACAAAAUAAACCAUUUAAUUUUAUGAAAAUAGAACUUUCAGAAUUUUUAGUUAAUUAAUAAGCUUCAAAUCUUUAUUUAAACUUUAAAUGUUCUUUUUAAGUAAACACAAUCGAUAAGUUUGUUCAUCUUG